CAUAGUAGAUAAUUAUUCUUGAUGUAUUGAAAUUCUAAUAGUAAUUUCCAUUUGAAGUAUAGUCUAGUAGAUUUUAAAAAAGUAGAUUAUUAUCAAGACAUUCAUUUCAUUCUUUCUGUGUACAAUACUAAUAUAAUAGAAGAUUGUUGUGGUAAUGAGAGAAUAUGUCUAAGGCGCCACAUUGAGGGUGUUCAUUUAUCAAAGAUUGUGAAUUGGAUUGAGUAGUGUAAAGAAGAGCAAAAAUUUUAGAAAUGCAAAAAAUCAAUAUUUCAAACAAAGUACAAUAUUAUCACAUUUUCUCACAAAUCCAUCCAUGGUCAAUAAGUUUUAGUCAUGGAGGUUAUCAAAGACAGUGCAAAUAUGUAACAUUGUUUAAGAAUUGAUAUGUAGCAAACAAAACAAAACCAAUUCUCUUCAGUAUAAUUAUUCAUGAUGAGUGCAUGAGAACAACUAUUGUGUCUA
rnacentral:lncRNA from 1 species